UACGAGGGGUGCAAGCGUUGCUCGGAAUUAUUGGGCGUAAAGGGUAGGUAGGUGGUCUCAUUUGUCUGGGGUGAAAUCCUUGAGCUUAACUCAAGAAGUGCCCCAGAAACGGUGAGACUUGAGUACUGGAGAGGGUCGUGGAAUUCCCGGUGUAGCGGUGAAAUGCGUAGAGAUCGGGAGGAACACCAGCGGCGAAGGCGGCGACCUGGACAGUAACUGACACUCAACUACGAAAGCGUGGGGAGCAAGCAGG
rnacentral:rRNA from 1 species